rnacentral:lncRNA from 1 species
UCAUUAAACAUUUCCAUAUUCAUAAACAGCAUGAGCGCAUUCUUCGUCAUUAACAAUCAUCAACACGCAUCGUGUCGUGGAGAAGGCCUUCCCCAACGAACACGGGCAUCGCACCGUGAAGGGGAGCCUCCCUCAGCGGUCACGGCAUCGUACUAUUGAGGGAGGCCUCCCCCAAUAGACGCUGUAACACUGGCAUACUGGCAUCGCGCCGCGAGAGAGGCCUCUCUCAGCGGACACGGGCAUCGCGCCGUGAGGAAGGCCCUCCUCAACGGACACGGCAUCGUACAGUUGAGGGAGGCCUCCCCCAACAGACGCAAGCAUCAAACAUAAGCAUAAACUUAUCAGCGUAAAGCAUUCAAGCGUAAAUAAGCGUAAUCAAACGUAAAUUACAUAGGGCGUAAAUAGUAUAAACAGC